rnacentral:tRNA from 1 species
AUUACUUUGGCAGAUAAGUGCAAUAGAUUUAGAAUCUUUUUAUAUGGUUUCUACUAUAGGUAAUACUUGAUUUU